GAGGUUAAGCGACUAAGCGUACACGGUGGAUGCCCUGGCAGUCAGAGGCGAUGAAGGACGUGCUAAUCUGCGAUAAGCGCCGGUAAGGUGAUAUGAACCGUUAUAACCGGCGAUUUCCGAAUGGGGAAACCCAGUGUGAUUCGUCACACUAUCAUUAACUGAAUCCAUAGGUUAAUGAGGCGAACCGGGGGAACUGAAACAUCUAAGUACCCCGAGGAAAAGAAAUCAACCGAGAUUCCCCCAGUAGCGGCGAGCGAACGGGGAGGAGCCCAGAGCCUGAAUCAGCAUGUGUGUUAGUGGAAGCGUCUGGAAAGGCGCGCGAUACAGGGUGACAGCCCCGUACACAAAAGCGCAUGUGCUGUGAGCUCGAUGAGUAGGGCGGGACACGUGGUAUCCUGUCUGAAUAUGGGGGGACCAUCCUCCAAGGCUAAAUACUCCUGACUGACCGAUAGUGAACCAGUACCGUGAGGGAAAGGCGAAAAGAACCCCGGCGAGGGGAGUGAAAAAGAACCUGAAACCGU
rnacentral:rRNA from 2 species